rnacentral:rRNA from 1 species
CUUUUAACGGCCGCGGUAUCCUAACCGUGCAAAGGUAGCAUAAUCACUUGUCCUCUAAAUAAGGACUGGAAUGAACGGCUAAAUGAAGACUAAGCUGUCUCUUGCAAAUACCUAUAAAACUGAUCUCCUAGUCAAAAAGCUGGGAUUUUAACACAAGACGAGAAGACCCUGUGGAGCUUAUAAACCAAGCUCAUAAAAUGACCCCUUGGUUUUUAGUUGGGGCGACUUCGGAGAACAAAAAACCCUCCGACUAAUUAACCAGAUAAACAUAUCAAACAUUUAUUCCGACCCAGUAGCUCAAUGCUAGCUGACUAAUGAACCAAGUUACCCCAGGGAUAACAGCGCUAUCCUCUUUUAGAGUCCCUAUCGACAGGAGGGCUUACGACCUCGAUGUUGGAUCAGGACACCCCAAUAGUGCAGCCGCUAUUAAAGGUUCGUUUGUUCAACGAUUAAAGUCCUACGUGA